UCUGGUGAUGAUGGCAUGGAAGUAACACUCCUACCCAUUCCGAACAGGAAAGUUAAGAUCCAUAGCGCCGAAGGUACUGCACGG
rnacentral:rRNA from 1 species